rnacentral:tRNA from 1 species
GCGGGCGUGGCGGAAUUGGCAGACGCGCCAGACUUAGGAUCUGGUGUCCCCGAUGUGCAGGUUCAAGUCCUGUCGCCCGCACCA